CCUACGGGAGGCUGCAGUGGGGAAUAUUGCACAAUGGGGGAAACCCUGAUGCAGCGACGCCGCGUGAGUGAAGAAGUAUUUCGGUACGUAAAGCUCUAUCAGCAGGGAAGAAAAUGACGGUACCUGACUAAGAAGCCCCGGCUAACUACGUGCCAGCAGCCGCGGUAAUACGUAGGGGGCAAGCGUUAUCCGGAUUUACUGGGUGUAAAGGGAGCGUAGACGGCAGCGCAAGUCUGGAGUGAAAUCCCAUGGCUUAACCAUGGAACUGCUUUGGAAACUGUGCAGCUAGAGUGCAGGAGAGGUAAGCGGAAUGCCUAGUGUAGCGGUGAAAUGCGUAGAUAUUAGGAGGAACGCCGGUGGCGAAGGCGGCUUACUGGACUGUAACUGACGUUGAGGCUCGAAAGCGUGGGGAGCAAACAGGAUUAGAUACCCUAGUAGUC
rnacentral:rRNA from 1 species